UACAGAGGGUGCUAGCGUUGUUCGGAAUCAUUGGGCGUAAAGGGCGUGUAGGCGGUUUGUUAAGUCAUGUGUGAAAUCCCUCGGCUCAACCGGGGAACGACGCAUGAAACUGGCAAGCUAGAGUACCAAAGAGGGGGGUGGAAUUCCCGGUGUAGCGGUGAAAUGCGUAGAGAUCGGGAGGAACACCCGUGGCGAAGGCGGCUCACUGGGCUGACCUUGACGCUGAGGCGCGAAAGCCAGGGGAGCAAACGGG
rnacentral:rRNA from 1 species